UGAGGAAUAUUGCGCAAUGGGGGAAACCCUGACGCAGCGACGCCGCGUGAGUGAGGAAGGUUUUCGGAUCGUAAAGCUCUGUCAGAAGGGAAGAAGUGUUAUAUGGUUAAUACCCGUAUACUUGACGGUACCU
rnacentral:rRNA from 1 species